rnacentral:lncRNA from 1 species
GCCAGAGCUUCCGGGAGCUGCAGUUCAAGAAUACCUGGGUUAUCCAAGGUUGGGAACCACUGUUUUCUAUAGCAUGCAACUAUGUUCUCUGUUACCAAACCAACAGCUCCUUCCAGGCAUGUGGCUUUCCUAUUUUAUGUGAUCUGCACGUGUUUCGAAUGUAAGUCUGUCUGAGAACCAAAAUUUAUGUAAGAGGUCAUGUAUUUGACCAAUCUGUGCUGCUCCAUUACUACCAGAAGAACAACUGCAGCUACGAUCCUCAUCCUCCCAUUUAUUCUUUUCCCAUGAGAUCUAGACAUUUGAAAGGUAGAGGAAGAAAUAAGAGGAUGUGUAAGCAGAGCAGAGAUUAGAAAAUCACUAGGUGGCACUGUUGUUUUGCAAAAAAGUGCCAUAGAACAUCAAUGAUACAACCUGGAGAAAUAUGUGAUUUUUAAGCUCUCGUUCAUUCACAGUAACUUGAACUAAUUUUGCUAUUUUAUGUAAUUAUUGCAGAUGCAGUUCAAAUAACACUCUGCAAACUCUGACAAUUUUAUACUUAAAUAAAGUGAAAUGUGUUUAUCCCCA